GGCUCGGUUGUGUAGGGGUAUCAUUCUCGCUUAGAGUGCGAGAGGUCCCGUGUUCAAAUCCUGGAUGAGCCC
rnacentral:tRNA from 1 species